rnacentral:rRNA from 1 species
UACGUAGGGGCCGAGCGUUGUCCGGAUUCAUUGGGCGUAAAGAGCGUGUAGGCGGCCGCUUAAGUCCUGCGUGAAAUCUCGGAGCUCAACUCCGAGCGGUCGUGGGAAACUGGGCGGCUAGAGUGCGGGAGAGGAGAGUGGAAUUCCUGGUGUAGCGGUGGAAUGCGCAGAUAUCAGGAAGAACACCCGUGGCUAAGGCGGCUCUCUAGUACGGUACUGACGCUGAGACGCGAAAGCGUGGGGAGCGAACAGG